AGAGGGUGCAAGCGUUAAUCGGAGUUACUGAGCGUAAAGGGCGCGUAGGUGGUUAUUUAAGUUUGAUGUGAAAUCCCUGGGCUUAACCUAGGAACUGCAUUGAAUACUGAGUAACUUGAGUACUGUAGAGGGUAGUGGAAUUUCCGGUGUAGCGGUGAAAUGCGUAGAGAUCGGAAGGAACACCAGUGGCGAAGGCGGCUACCUGGACAGAUACUGACACUGAGGCGCGAGAGCGUGGGGAGCAAACAGGAUUAGAUACCCUGGUAGUCCACGCUGUAAACGAUGAAAACUAGAUGUUGUUAGGCAUAGUCUUAUCAGUAUCGAAGCUAACGCGAUAAGUUUUCCGCCUGGGGAGUACGGUCGCAAGAUUA
rnacentral:rRNA from 1 species